rnacentral:rRNA from 1 species
UACGAAGGGGCUAGCGUUGUUCGGAAUUACUGGGCGUAAAGCGUGCGCAGGCGGCUUCUCAAGUCAGGGGUGAAAGCCCAGAGCUCAACUCUGGAAUUGCCUUUGAGACUGAGUGGCUUGAGUACGAGAGAGGUGAGUGGAAUUCCCAAGUGUAGAGGUGAAAUUCGUAGAUAUUGGGAAGGAACACCAGUGGCGAAGGGCGGCCGCCUGGGCAGUGGCUGACGGCUGAGGCGCGA